rnacentral:lncRNA from 1 species
UUCUCUCCCGCAUUUCGUCGAACAUCUUUCGAGCAACUGAUAAGUUCCCACAUUUUACGUUCUUUGUUAUAUCAAUGUUUGUUGAGACUGUUAUUUUGAUCAUGAUUCAGUGGACUACCACGCAGAGUUGAAUACAAACUUUUGUUCCUUUUUCCAUCGUUUAUGCUUCCACGUUCCAAUUAGUACCGACAAUCUCAUUAAAGGAGAGUGAGUGUCGGAAAUUUUCAAA